rnacentral:rRNA from 1 species
UACGAAGGGGACUAGCGUUGUUCGGAUUUACUGGGCGUAAAGCGCGCGUAGGCGGAUCGCUAAGUCAGGGGUGAAAUCCCAGGGCUCAACCCUGGAACUGCCUUUGAUACUGACGAUCUGGAGAUCGGGAGAGGUCGGUGGAAUUCCCGGUGUAGUGGUGAAAUGCGUAGAGAUCGGGAGGAACACCUGUGGCGAAGGCGGCCGACUGGGCCGACCCUGACGCUGAGGCGCGAAGGCGUGGGGAGCGAACGGG